CAGGUCUUGUCCUNNGNCCCUUNUGGAGAAAGAGUUUUCCCUUUNGGGGANCNNGANACCAGNUGCAUGGUUGUCUUCAGCUNGUGUGNGGAGAUGUUGGGUUAAGUCCCGCAAGGNCNACCCUUUUUUUUAGUUCCCAGCAUUAAGUUGGGCAAUUUAAGGGGAACCCCGGGGACAAACCGGAGGAAGGUGGGGAUGACGUCAAAUCAUCAUGCCCCUUAUGACCUGGGCUACCCACGUGCUACAAUGGACGGUACAAAGGGAAGCGAAGCCGUGAGGUGGAGCCAAUCCCAUAAAACCGUUCUCAGUUCGGAUGCAGGCUGCAACUCGCCUGCAUGAAGCNCGGAAUCGCUAGUAAUCG
rnacentral:rRNA from 1 species